rnacentral:misc_RNA from 1 species
AACGCACCUUGCGCCCUUUGGCUAUUCCGAAGGGCAUGCCUGUUUGAGUAUCAUGAACACCUCAACUCUCAUGGCUUGCCGUGAUGAGCUUGGACUUUGGGGGUCUUGUUGGCCUGUGAGCCAGCUCCUCUUAAAUGAAUUAGCUUGCCGGUGUUUGGUGGCAUCACAGGUGUGAUAACUAUCUACGCUUGUGGUUUCCCAUCAGAUAACCUUCAGUGAUGGAGGUUCACUGGGGCUUAUAAAUUUCUCUCCUCGGUGAGGACAGAUUUUGACUGUUUGAUCUCAAAUCAGGUAGGACUACCCGCUGAACUUAA